rnacentral:lncRNA from 10 species
AUCACCACCACCACCACCACCACCACCAACAAAAAAACCCGUAGACUUGUCCCUGUUACAGGCACUAGGAACACAGCAGGGAACAAUCAAAAAGUCCCUGGUCUGGCCAGGCAAGGUGGCUCAUGCCUGUAAUCUCAGUACUUCAGGAGGCCAAGGCAGGAGGAUCACUUGAGCCCAGGAGUUCGAGACUAGCCUGGGCAACAUAGCAAGACCCCCGUCUCUA